rnacentral:rRNA from 1 species
GGAAUAUUGGACAAUGGGGGCAACCCUGAUGCAGCCAUGCCGCGUGUGUGAAGAAGGCCUUCGGGUUGUAAAGCACUUUAAGCGAGGAGGAAGGCGUAACGGUUAAUACCCGUUAUGAUUGACGUUACUCGCAGAAUAAGCACCGGCUAACUCCGUGCCAGCAGCCGCGGUAAUACGGAGGGUGCAAGCGUUAAUCGGAAUUACUGGGCGUAAAGCGCGCGUAGGCGGCUAUUUAAGCUAGAUGUGAAAUCCCCGGGCUUAACCUGGGACGUGCAUUUAGAACUGGGUAGCUAGAGUACAGCAGAGGAUAGUGGAAUUUCAGGUGUAGCGGUGAAAUGCGUAGAGAUCUGAAGGAACAUCAGUGGCGAAGGCGACUGUCUGGGCUGAUACCGACGCUGAGGUGCGAAAGCGUGGGGAGC